UUUCUUGUCGUUUGCCCCCCACCGCGUGGGACCCCAUAACUCUACAUGAAAAAUUUCUCUCGACCCCAUGGGUCGAGAGAACUCUACAUGAAAAAUUCCUGGGUCAAAAUAAGUACAGAAGUAAGACAUUUUGGGGAAACACAGGAAAUGCUUCAUUUAAAUCUUUCAAAGGCAUGUCGAAUUUGGAAUGAUAUCACAAAACUCCGUUGUUAUAUGAUGACAUUCCCACAACAAUGUGAUGGCAUUAUGAUCAGCUAAUUUAUUUUAAAUGCUAUAAAAAUGAAUUGUACAGUAAAAUAAUAUUUCUG
rnacentral:lncRNA from 1 species